rnacentral:rRNA from 1 species
AACGAACGCUGGCGGCGGGCCUAACACAUGCAAGUCGAACGGGAUCUUCGGGUCUAGUGGCGGCCGGGUGAGUAACACGUGGGAACGUGCCCUUUGGUUCGGAAUAGCCCCGGGAAACUGGGAGUAAUACCGGAUAAGCCCUACGGGGGAAAGAUUUAUCGCCAAAGGAUCGGCCCGCGUUGGAUUAGGUAGUUGGUGAGGUAAUGGCCCACCAAGCCGACGAUCCAUAGCUGGUUUGAGAGGAUGAUCAGCCACACUGGGACUGAGACACGGCCCAGACUCCUACGGGAGGCAGCAGUGGGGAAUCUUAGACAAUGGGGGAAACCCUGAUCUAGCCAUGCCGCGUGAUCGAUGAAGGCCUUAGGGUUGUAAAGAUCUUUCAGUGGGGAAGAUAAUGACUGUACCCACAGAAGAAGCCCCGGCUAACUCCGUGCCAGCAGCCGCCGUAA